rnacentral:SRP_RNA from 2 species
GCCGGGUGCGGUGGCUCACGCCUGUAAUCCCAGCACUUUGGGAGGCUGAGGUGGGUGGAUCACCUGAGGUCAGGAGUUCGAGACCAGCCUGGCCAACAUGGUGAAACCCCGUCUCUA